ACCUGGAUGGCUUAGUAGGUUAAAGUGUCUGCCUCUGGCUCAGGUCAUGAUCCUGGGGUCCUGGGAUCGAGUCCCAGGUCAGGCU
rnacentral:tRNA from 1 species